rnacentral:rRNA from 1 species
UACAGAGGGUGCAAGCGUUGUUCGGAAUUAUUGGGCGUAAAGGGCUCGUAGGCGGCCAACUAAGUCAGACGUGAAAUCCCCAGGCUCAACCUGGGAACUGCGUCUGAUACUGGAUGGCUUGAAUUCGGGAGAGGGAUGCAGAAUUCCAGGUGUAGCGGUGAAAUGCGUAGAUAUCUGGAGGAAUACCGGUGGCGAAGGCGGCAUCCUGGACCGACAUUGACGCUGAUGAGCGAAAGCUAGGGGAGCAAACGGG